CUACGGGGUGCAGCAGUGGGGAAUAUUGCACAAUGGGCGCAAGCCUGAUGCAGCCAUGCCGCGUGUAUGAAGAAGGCCUUCGGGUUGUAAAGUACUUUCAGCGGGGAGGAAGGGAGUAAAGUUAAUACCUUUGCUCAUUGACGUUACCCGCAGAAGAAGCACCGGCUAACUCCGUGCCAGCAGCCGCGGUAAUACGGAGGGUGCAAGCGUUAAUCGGAAUUACUGGGCGUAAAGCGCACGCAGGCGGUUUGUUAAGUCAGAUGUGAAAUCCCCGGGCGCAACCUGGGAACUGCAUCUGAUACUGGCAAGCUUGAGUCUCGUAGAGGGGGGUAGAAUUCCAGGUGUAGCGGUGAAAUGCGUAGAGAUCUGGAGGAAUACCGGUGGCGAAGGCGGCCCCCUGGACGAAGACUGACGCUCAGGUGCGAAAGCGUGGGGAGCAAACAGGAUUAGAUACCCUAGUAGUC
rnacentral:rRNA from 1 species